AUACAAAUAACAUUUGAUUCUACCAAGUACAUUCCGAAGGACUUACUGACGGCUUAUUCCUUCAAUAAGUACUGAUAGUUUAAUCUUUCAGUAAUUACCUACGACUUAUUUCUUUGGUAAUUACUAAUGGUUUAAUCCUUCAAUAAUUACAGACAGCUUAAUUCUUCAGUAAUUAUCGAUGAUUUAUUCUAUCAGCAAUUAUUACAUAUAAAAGGUAUCACUGAC
rnacentral:lncRNA from 1 species